rnacentral:rRNA from 1 species
UCAGACGAUGCGUCAUGCAUAUCAAUAAGCGGAGGAAAAGAAACUAACAAGGAUUCCCUUAGUAACGGCGAGUGAAGCGGGAAGAAGCUCAAAUUUGAAAUCUUCAAGGUUUUACCUUGACGAAUUGUAGUUUAAAGAAGUGUUUUCUGUUGAAGUUUUGGUAAAAGUUCUUUGGAAUAGGACAUCAUAGAGGGUGAGAAUCCCGUAUUUGACCAUUAUUUUCAGCUGUGUGAUACACUUUCAAAGAGUCGGAUUGUUUGGGAAUGCAGUCCAAAAUGGGUGGUAAAUUUCAUCUAAAGCUAAAUAUUGGCGAGAGACCGAUAGCGAACAAGUACCGUGAGGGAAAGAUGAAAAGAACUUUGAAAAGAGAGUUAAACAGUACGUGAAAUUGUCAAAAGGGAAGCGUUUGACACCAGUGUUGUUUUCUCGAAAAUCAAUUAAAAAGAGUUUAGAUUUUGUUGUGUAUUGACCUUAACAGCUUGCAUUUCAAUUUUCUUGCUUUUUUUAAUGCACUUUUCGUUUAACAAGUCAACAUCAGUUUCUUUUGUUGUAAAAAGGGUCAUUGGAAGGUGGCUUUCUUUUCGGAGAAAGUGUUUAUAGCCUUUGACUCCUGCAAUCGGAGAGACUGAGAUCUGCAGCGUAGAUCCUUCGGGGUUAGAUACAUUUGUGCUAAGUUAUAGCUUUUUAUAGACAACUUGUUGACUAUGAUUAGUCUUGUAGCUUACUCGCUUAUGCUAUUUUACCUACGCUUAGGAUGUUGAGUCGUAGAGCACGCAG